rnacentral:misc_RNA from 1 species
UUAGGCGAUCCUUGGUGUGAUAAUUAUCUACACUUUGGAUAGUCUAAUGGUUCCAUUGGGAUUAGUUGGUAUUGCGAUUAAGUUUGCUUUACUUGAGUCUCAGAGGAAAAGAUAAGUUCUGCUUUCUAACCGUCUGUGUUACAUGGACAAUUUAUUGACUAUUUGACCUCAAAUCAGGUAGGACUACCCGCUGAACUUAA